rnacentral:rRNA from 1 species
UAUCUCUGUAGAGUCUGCAUAUCAAUAAGCGGAGGAAAAGAAACUAACAAGGAUUCCCUUAGUAACGGCGAGUGAAGCGGGAAGAGCUCAAAUUUGAAAUCUUCAAGGUUUUACCUUGACGAAUUGUAGUUUAAAGAAGUGUUUUCUGUUGGAGUUUCGGUAAAAGUUCUUUGGAAUAGGACAUCAUAGAGGGUGAGAAUCCCGUAUUUGACCGUUAUUUUCAGCUGUGUGAUACACUUUCAAAGAGUCGGAUUGUUUGGGAAUGCAGUCCAAAAUGGGUGGUAAAUUUCAUCUAAAGCUAAAUAUUGGCGAGAGACCGAUAGCGAACAAGUACCGUGAGGGAAAGAUGGAAAGAACUUUGAAAAGAGAGUUAAACAGUACGUGAAAUUGUCAAAAGGGAAGCGUUUGACACCAGUGUUGUUUUCUCGAAAAUCAAUUAAAAAUGGCUUGAUUUUGUGUUGUAUUGACCUUUAUCAAGCUUUCUUCACUUUUUUCCUGUCUUUUUUAAUGCACUUUUCGUUUAACAAGUCAACAUCAGUUUCUUUUGUUGUAAAAGGGUCAUUGGAAGGUGGCUUUCUUUUCGGAGAAAGUGUUUAUAGCCUUUGACUUCUGCAAUCGGAGAGAUUGAGGUCUGCAGCGUAGAUCCUUCUGGAUUAGAUACAUUUGUGCUAAGUUAUAGCCUUUCAUAGACAACUUGUUGACUAUGAUCAGUCAUGUAGCUUACUCGCUUAUGCUAAUUUUACCUACGCUUAGGAUGUUGAUCUCUCACAGUCGAGC